AUGGAGGAUCGGGAGACCAAGAACAUUGAAUGUUUCACUCGGGCCUUGCAGCUACGUUGGGAGUGGUUCCGUUGGGAUGAAGGGGACGGGCCAUGGAAGGGAUCUGCAACACCGUGUGAUGAUACAGAUAGGCAGUUUGUUCUCCAGCUGCACCAACAUUCAGUGGGAGAUGGGAGCAUUGCAAGGUUUUGGAAAGACCGAUGGUUGGAUGGUGAGGCACCCAAUACAGUGGCUCCUAAAUUGUUCCAAUUGGCAAGAUUCAAGAAAGUUAGAGUUAAGGUGGGGUUGCAUAAUGGAAGGUGGAUUCAAGGGCUCCAAAGAAUGGACAAUGAGGAGCAGUUGACUCAAUUUGUGAGAUUAUGCGAAGGGGUGCAAAUGAUCAAUUUGUCGACGGAGAAGGACACCAUCGUUUGGAAUCUUACUGCCAAUGGGGCCUACACCACACGCUCAGCUUACGAGGCUCGGUUUCUGGCAAAGACUGAAUAACCGAGAUUGGCAAGGGUGUGGUGAUGUAAGAUGGAAGGAAAAGUGAGGUUUUACAUAUGGAUUUUACUGUAA
rnacentral:rRNA from 1 species